GAAAUGCGAUAAGUAGUGUGAAUUGCAGAAUUCAGUGAAUCAUCGAAUCUUUGAACGCACAUUGCGCCCCUUGGUAUUCCAUGGGGCAUGCCUGUUCGAGCGUCAUUUUUACCCUCAAGCUCUGCUUGGUGUUGGGUGUUUGUCCCCGUCUCCGCGCGUGGACUCGCCCCAAAGUGAUUGGCAGCCGGCGUACUGGUCCCGGAGCGCAGCACAUGUCGCGCAAACGAGUGCCUUGGUACGGCGGCGUCCAUAAGCCCCUCUCUCACGCUCUUGACCUCGGAUCAGGUAGGGAUACCCGCUGAACUUAAGC
rnacentral:misc_RNA from 1 species